rnacentral:lncRNA from 1 species
GUUCUCUGUUUUCAGAUGAGGAAGCUGAGGCAUGGAAGAAGCUGCCUCUUCCUUCUCUAAAGUUACAAGGCACUCUCUUGAGGCCUCUUGUGAAGCCUACAACUUCCAGUCUUGAAUGGGAAUGAGUUUUGCCUCCUCUAAUAGAUCUGAAGCUACUGAGAGUAUGUAGGUCCCAGAGCCAGCCUCAUCAGACUUUUUACAGAGGCAUUUAGAAAGAAAGUAGUGAAUCAGCAAUAACUCCCUUCUGUGCUGUGAACUUGUUUGGGCUGGAUGGGACUCUAUUUCCAUGACAACUUUAAGGUCCAAGAAGCAGAGUGCUUUGACUCAGUUCCCUGUGUCUACUGAAGCUGAGAUCUCUGCUUGAUUAAAGGAGACCUUGUUCUAGCCUUCUAUGCAGCAGAAUAUAAAGUCCACUCUCUGCUCCAUCCCACCAUGCCUGGUUUGGGUGGUCUGUUCCACCCUCACAUUAAUAA